rnacentral:rRNA from 1 species
GAUGAACGCUGGCGGCGUGCCUAAUACAUGCAAGUCGAGCGAACAGACGAGGAGCUUGCUCCUCUGACGUUAGCGGCGGACGGGUGAGUAACACGUGGAUAACCUACCUAUAAGACUGGGAUAACUUCGGGAAACCGGAGCUAAUACCAGAUAACAUGUUGAACCGCAUGGUUCAACAGUGAAAGACGGUCUUGCUGUCACUUAUAGAUGGAUCCGCGCCGCAUUAGCUAGUUGGUAAGGUAACGGCUUACCAAGGCAACGAUGCGUAGCCGACCUGAGAGGGUGAUCGGCCACACUGGAACUGAGACACGGUCCAGACUCCUACGGGAGGCAGCAGUAGGGAAUCUUCCGCAAUGGGCGAAAGCCUGACGGAGCAACGCCGCGUGAGUGAUGAAGGUCUUCGGAUCGUAAAACUCUGUUAUUAGGGAAGAACAAAUGUGUAAGUAACUAUGCACGUCUUGACGGCACCUAAUCAGAAAGCCACGGCUAACUACGUG